rnacentral:rRNA from 1 species
CAGUCGCCGCGGGAAAACGAAGGGGGCAAGCGUUGUUCGGAUUUACUGGGCGUAAAGCGUACGUAGGCGGAUAUUUAAGUCAGGGGUGAAAUCCCGAGGCUCAACCUCGGAACUGCCUUUGAUACUGGAUAUCUUGAGUCCGAGAGAGGUGAGUGGAACUCCUAGUGUAGAGGUGAAAUUCGUAGAUAUUAGGAAGAACACCAGAGGCGAAGGCGGCUCACUGGCUCGGAACUGACGCUGAGGUACGAAAGCGUGGGGAGCAAACAGGAUUAGAUACCCGCGUAGUCCCUGUCUCUUAUAC